rnacentral:rRNA from 1 species
UACGUAGGGUGCAAGCGUUAAUCGGAAUUACUGGGCGUAAAGCGUGCGCAGGCGGUUGGGCAAGACCGAUGUGAAAUCCCCGGGCUUAACCUGGGAAUUGCAUUUGUGACUGCACGGCUAGAGUGUGUCAGAGGGGGGUAGAAUUCCACGUGUAGCAGUGAAAUGCGUAGAGAUGUGGAGGAACACCGAUGGCGAAGGCAGCCCCCUGGGCUGAGAUUGACGCUCAGGCACGAAAGCGUGGGGAGCAAACAGG